rnacentral:misc_RNA from 1 species
ACUCCUUAAUUCUUGAUUGACAUCUCUGCCAUCCUUCUUAUUUUAAUCUUCCCCAUGUUCUUGAUCUCGCAACUUUUGAAUCCUCAUUCUUACUUCUUUGGUUACUAAAGAGAGGCCUUUCAUAUUCUUUGAUCCAAACUUUUGACAUUUGAUUGUCUAAAGCCUCUUGAUUAGCUAAUAUAUUUUCUAGCUAAUUCAGAUUUGGCUCUUUAGCCCA